UACAGAGGGUGCGAGCGUUGUCCGGAAUCAUUGGGCGUAAAGCGCGCGUAGGCGGCCCCGUAAGUCCGCUGUGAAAGUCAAAGGCUCAACCUUUGAAAGCCGGUGGAAACUGUGGGGCUAGAGUCCGGAAGAGGCGAGUGGAAUUCCUGGUGUAGCGGUGGAAUGCGCAGAUAUCAGGAGGAACACCAAUAGCGAAGGCAGCUCGCUGGGACGGUACUGACGCUAAGGCGCGAAAGCGUGGGGAGCGAACAGG
rnacentral:rRNA from 1 species